CCUACGGGUGGCAGCAGUGAGGAAUAUUGGUCAAUGGACGAGAGUCUGAACCAGCCAAGUAGCGUGAAGGAUGACUGCCCUAUGGGUUGUAAACUUCUUUUAUAUGGGAAUAAAAUGUUCCACGUGUGGGAUUUUGUAUGUACCAUAUGAAUAAGGAUCGGCUAACUCCGUGCCAGCAGCCGCGGUAAUACGGAGGAUCCGAGCGUUAUCCGGAUUUAUUGGGUUUAAAGGGAGCGUAGGUGGAUUGUUAAGUCAGUUGUGAAAGUUUGCGGCUCAACCGUAAAAUUGCAGUUGAAACUGGCAGUCUUGAGUACAGUAGAGGUGGGCGGAAUUCGUGGUGUAGCGGUGAAAUGCUUAGAUAUCACGAAGAACUCCGAUUGCGAAGGCAGUUCACUGGACUGCAACUGACACUGAGGCUCGAAAGUGUGGGUAUCAAACAGGACUAGAUACCCGAGUAGUC
rnacentral:rRNA from 1 species